rnacentral:rRNA from 1 species
UACGGGGGGGGCAAGCGUUGUUCGGAAUUACUGGGCGUAAAGGGCUCGUAGGUGGCCAACUAAGUCAGACGUGAAAUCCCUCAGCUUAACUGGGGAACUGCGUCUGAUACUGGAUGGCUUGAGUUUGGGAGAGGGAUGCGGAAUUCCAGGUGUAGCGGUGAAAUGCGUAGAUAUCUGGAGGAACACCUGCGGCGAAGGCGGGUAGCUGGGCCGACACUGACGCUGAAGCGCGAAAGCUAGGGGAGCGAACGGG